rnacentral:rRNA from 1 species
UACGAAGGGGGCUAGCGUUGUUCGGAAUUACUGGGCGUAAAGCGUGCGCAGGCGGCUUCUCAAGUCAGGGGUGAAAGCCCAGAGCUCAACUCUGGAAUUGCCUUUGAGACUGAGUGGCUUGAGUACGAGAGAGGUGAGUGGAAUUCCCAGUGUAGAGGUGAAAUUCGUAGAUAUUCGGAGGAACACCAGUGGCGAAGGCGGCUCACUGGCUCGGUACUGACGCUGAGGUGCGAAAGCGUGGGGAGCAAACAGG